CAUUCGAGUGGCGACGGGUGAGUAACGCGUGGGUAACCUGCCUUACACAGGGGGAUAACACCUGGAAACAGGUGCUAAUACCGCAUAAGCGCACAGGGCCGCAUGGCCCGGUGUGAAAAACUCCGGUGGUGUAAGAUGGACCCGCGUCUGAUUAGCUUGUUGGCGGGGUAGGGGCCCACCAAGGCGACGAUCAGUAGCCGGCCUGAGAGGGUGGACGGCCACAUUGGGACUGAGACACGGCCCAAACUCCUACGGAAGGCAGCAG
rnacentral:rRNA from 1 species